rnacentral:rRNA from 1 species
AAUCAACGCUGGCGGCGUGCCUAACACAUGCAAGUCGCGCGCGAAAAGGGGGGCAACUCCCGAGUAAAGCGGCGAACGGGUGAGUAACACGUGGGUAAUCUACCUUCGAGUGGGAACGAACACCGGGAAACGUAGUGCUAAUUCCGCAUGACAUCGUCGGGGCUUCGGUUCUGACGCUCAAAGCUGGGGAUCGCAAGACCUAGCGCUUGAAGAUGAGCCCGCGUCCGAUUAGCUAGNGGGUCGGGGUAAGUGGCCCACCAAGGCUUCGAUCGGUAGCCGGCCUGAGAGGGCGGGACGGCCACACUGGAACUGAGACACGGGUCCAGACUCCUACGGGAGACA